rnacentral:rRNA from 1 species
GAUGAACGCUGGCGGCGUGCCUAAUACAUGCAAGUCGAACGGUAAGGCCCUUCGGGGUACACGAGUGGCGAACGGGUGAGUAACACGUGGGUGAUCUGCCCUGCACUUCGGGAUAAGCCUGGGAAACUGGGUCUAAUACCGGAUAGGACUCCGGACUGCAUGGUCUGGGGUGGAAAGCUUUUGCGGUGUGGGAUGGGCCCGCGGCCUAUCAGCUUGUUGGUGGGGUGAUGGCCGACCAAGGCGACGACGGGUAGCCGGCCUGGGAGGGUGACCGGCCACACUGGGACUGAGAUACGGCCCAGACUCCUACGGGAGGCAGCAGUGGGGAAUAUUGCACAAUGGGCGCAAGCCUGAUGCAGCGACGCCGCGUGAGGGAUGACGGCCUUCGGGUUGUAAACCUCUUUCAGCAUCGACGAAGCGAAAGUGACGGUAGGUGCAGAAGAAGGACCGGCCAACUACGUGCCAGCAGCCGCCGUAA